AUGGCCGACUUGGGUCAAAGUGCAGUAUCUGUUCUUAUCAGCUUAAUAUCUGAUACCGGUUCUAUGCGGACCCAAGAUAUUAAACUUCUUUUUGCCACUUGGCGGAGGGCUUCAAGCCUGCUCCACCUCCGCCCCGGGUGUUGGCCCGGUAUUGCACUGCAGUAUCGGCCCACGGUUUUUGCUU